rnacentral:rRNA from 1 species
UGGGGAAUCUUGCGCAAUGGGCGAAAGCCUGACGCAGCCAUGCCGCGUGAAUGAUGAAGGUCUUAGGAUUGUAAAAUUCUUUCACCGGGGACGAUAAUGACGGUACCCGGAGAAGAAGCCCCGGCUAACUUCGUGCCAGCAGCCGCGGUAAUACGAAGGGGGCUAGCGUUGUUCGGAAUUACUGGGCGUAAAGCGCACGUAGGCGGACUUUUAAGUCAGGGGUGAAAUCCCGGGGCUCAACCCCGGAACUGCCUUUGAUACAGGAAGUCUGGAGUAUGGAAGAGGUAAGUGGAAUUCCGAGUGUAGAGGUGAAAUGCGUAGAUAUGCGGAGGAACACCGAUGGCGAAGGCAAUCCCCUGGGCCCGCACUGACGCUCAUGCACGAAAGCGUGGGGAGCAAACA